CUUAAGUGGUCAUUAAUCAGUACCCCAAUCUCAGCCCAAUACACUGGUACAAGUUUAUGGGUUUUUUUUUGUUUUUUGUUUUUUGUAUUUUUUCCCCUUCCAGAUGUUUUUGUAUCCAGGAAAUUAUUUUUCUGUCUUCUUUUUCAAUAAAGCUUCCAAUAUUAGAAUAUUUCCCUUCCUCCCCAAAAUCUCCAUCAAAGGGAAACUGCUAACUCUCAGAGACAAGAAGCUCCCAAGGGACUGCAAUAGCCUCUCUCCUUUCACCCCAUUAAUGGCUAAGAGGAAGGGCUCUAGUCAGACUGCUUCAUGAGAAUCUUAGCUCUAUUACUUUCUACCUAGGUGAGCAUGGGAAAGUUCAUUCAUUCACCAUCCAUUCAGCAACACUUGAGCCCUUUUAUUGUCUUCCACAUCCACCAUUUUGGCCUAUGCCAUCAUUACUGCUUCUGACUUUGAUACUGAACAAGUCUCCCUGCAGUCACAUCUGCCCUUCUACACAAUCACGUCACUAGGCCACUCAUACCAUUCCCUGGCUUCCCACCAGCUAGAAGUCCAGUCACCAGGGGAGGAGGCCUAUAAGUUCCUCCCUGAUCUGCCCUCUCCCUAACUCACAUCCCAGACCUCUCUGACUUAUGCCUACUCCCCUACUGUUCUCUGUCUGCUCUAGCCACCUGGGCCUCCUUGCUGUUCAUCCAACAUGCCAACCUCGCCUUUUCCUUAGGACCUUUGCAUAUGCUGUUCCCUCUGCCAGAGAGUUCUUCCUCUAGAAUCUACUUGACUCAUUCCCUCUCUGUCAGGUUUCUGCUUAAAUGUCCUCUUCCUGGGAAGGCCCUCCUGGACAUGCAAAUAGUAGCCCCUCACUGUCACUUAACACUCCCUAGUUUCCUUUCCCCAUCUUGUUUUCCUCCAUACCAUACUAUUGAUUUCUUGGAUUCUUUUUUUCUCCUACUAGGAUGUAAGCUCUUCACAGAAGCAAUAUGCCAGCAUCCAAAAUGCCUGCAUAUAUCAGGUACUCAAUAAAUAAAUUUGCACUUGGAAAUCAUAAGCCUGAUCCUAUAGGGAAAGUCUUGGAAAGGACUUUGGGUUUUAUUUUAUUUUUAUGUAUUUUUUGUGGUGCUGGGGAUUGAACCCAGGGCCUUGUACAUGCAAGGCAAGCACUCUACCAACUGAGCUAUAUCCCCAGCAUGUGAAGUUGCUAUAGCUUAGAUAUGAGGUUCCCCCAAAAAAUCUUUCGUGUAAGACAAUGCAAGAAAGUUUAGAGGUAAAAUGAUAGGAUUAUGAGAGCCUUAUUAACCUGAUCAGCAUAUUAAUCCCCUGAUAGAGAUUAACUGGGUGGUCAUUGAGGGCAAG
rnacentral:lncRNA from 1 species